rnacentral:tRNA from 1 species
GGAGAGGUACCCAAGUGGUUAUAAGGGGGCGGUCUUGAAAACCGCUAGGCUGUAACAGGUACGUGGGUUCGAAUCCCACCUUCUCCGCCA